AUUGAACGCUGGCGGCAGGCUUAACACAUGCAAGUCGAGCGGAGUGAUGGUGCUUGCACUAUCACUUAGCGGCGGACGGGUGCGUAAUGCUUAGGAAUCUGCCUAUUAGUGGGGGACAACAUCUCGAAAGGGAUGCUAAUACCGCAUACGUCCUACGGGAGAAAGCAGGGGAUCACUUGGUACCUUGCGCUAAUAGAUGAGCCUAAGUCGGACUAGCUAGUUGGUGGGGUAAAGGCCUACCAAGGCGACGAUCUGUAGCGGGUCUGAGAGGAUGAUCCGCCACACUGGGACUGAGACACGGCCCAGACUCCUACGGGAGGCAGCAGUGGGGAAUAUUGGACAAUGGGGGGAACCCUGAUCCAGCCAUGCCGCGUGUGUGAAGAAGGCCUUAUGGUUGUAAAGCACUUUAAGCGAGGAGGAGGCUCUUUUGGUUAAUACCCAAGAUGAGUGGACGUUACUCGCAGAAUAAGCACCGGCUAACUCUGUGCCAGCAGCCGCUGUAA
rnacentral:rRNA from 1 species